CGUGUAGGCGGUUUGCUAAGUCUGAUGUGAAAGCCCUGGGCUCAACCCAGGAAGUGCAUUGGAAACUGGCAGACUUGAAUACGGGAGAGGGCAGUGGAAUUCCUAGUGUAGGAGUGAAAUCCGUAGAUAUUAGGAGGAACACCGGUGGCGAAGGCGGCUGCCUGGACCGAUAUUGACGCUGAGACGCGAAAGCGUGGGUAGCAAACA
rnacentral:rRNA from 1 species